AAGUCGUAACAAGGUUUCCGUAGGUGAACCUGCGGAAGGAUCAUUAUCAAAUCAUAUUUUAAUGACGCUGCGGUAUUCCCUCGCGUUAGCGGGGGAAUAUGAGCAUGCAUGGGGAGGAUUGGGGGGAUGAGUAUUCGCAGGGGGAGGAUUGGCGUGACGUGAAUGCUUUUUGUUGAUUGGGGUGUGUCGCAAAUGGGUCGUUGAUUCAUGCGUGGAUGCACUCUGAUUGAAAAACACUUUUGAUUGGUUGAAGAGAACCCAGUGUUCUUUUUGAUGGAAUCACAUACAACUUUUAACAAUGGAUCUCUUGGCUCUU
rnacentral:misc_RNA from 1 species